AGAGCGAACGCUGGCGGCAGGCUUAACACAUGCAAGUCGAACGGAUCCUUCGGGAUUAGUGGCGGACGGGUGAGUAACACGUGGGAACGUGCCUUUUGGUUCGGAACAACUCAGGGAAACUUGAGCUAAUACCGGAUGUGCCCUUCGGGGGAAAGAUUUAUCGCCAUUAGAGCGGCCCGCGUCUGAUUAGCUAGUUGGUGAGGUAAAGGCCCACCAAGGCUACGAUCAGUAGCUGGUCUGAGAGGAUGACCAGCCACAUUGGGACUGAGACACGGCCCAAACUCCUACGGGAGGCAGCAGUGGGGAAUCUUGCGCAAUGGGCGAAAGCCUGACGCAGCCAUGCCGCGUGAGUGAAGAAGGCCUUAGGGUUGUAAAGCUCUUUCAGUAGGGACGAUGAUGACGGUACCUACAGAAGAAGCCCCGGCUAACUCCGCGCCAGCAGCCGC
rnacentral:rRNA from 1 species